GGGGCAGCAGCAGGAGCCUCCAAAGGACCUGCAAGACAAAGGUAAGCUGCUUAGAGAGAAAUCGGGGAAGAGGAAAGCAGCUGCCCUUUGAUCAUGGACCUACCCACUGGCGUUCUUCAUCCACCCUGGAUUUCCCCUGCAUGCAUCUCUGUAAUUCUGUUAAUUGUUCCUGAUGCCUCUUUGACCCAGAUUCAUUGCACAAUCCAAGGUACUAAAAUGUAACCCUGCCUCGGCCUAACUUUCAGGUCUUGUUUGGGUGUCUGUUUGAAGGGGAGGGAAAUAAGGGUGUACUGGGAGGCUGUACCUUGUUUAAUCAUCGCACGGGUUACAUCCUCCACUUUGGGUUUUUUUUUUUUUUUUUUUUAAUUACAGUAGCAGUCAGUGCCGUGGUUGUACAGUACCCACCGCAAUCAGUGGCGUCUUAUUAGUACGCUCGCAAGUGCAAACUUCAUUAGCGGGGUUGCGUCGUGAGUAAUUAGCUUCCCAGGCAGCGCUUUUGAGCUGCAGUCUAGUCACGUGCUGGGCCAGCGAUCCAGGCUUGUUUAGGGCCCUGGUACAGGCAAGCUGAGUCCCUCCCAGUACUUAGCAGUUACACAACCGCGUUCACCUUCCCCACCGAGGCUCAUCCUGCGAUUCCCGUGGUUCUCUCUCAGGGCUAGAGGCUGAGCCCUGACCCUUUUGCAGUCUGGGGGACACCUCCAAGUGACUUCCGUGGGGACCACGCUGGGAUUUCGUUCUCCCGUGUUGCAAUGGCAAAGCACUAGCUCCCCAGGCUGGGCAUGAGGAGGAGAGGAGCAGGGAGGCGCCAUUCACAAAGAGAGCGAGCGAGCGCGCGCGAGAGCCCGCAGAACCACCCCCCACCCCCAUCACAAAAGAGGCGACGAGACACGGAAACGUGCCUGACCCAUGCAUCCAGGCGGAGGGAGUCCCCUUCUGAAUGAGGCAGUUCGUACAGUCACUGUGCACACAGCCCUUGGCUGGUGCAAUAACAAUAGCAAAGCGCUGGCUCAUCGUGCAGCAUUGCAGCCUGGGCAUGGGGAGGAGCAGCCGCAGGCCCCGGAAGCUGCCUCUGCUCGCAGAGCUGAGAGCUCCCGUGCCCCCUCCCUAGCUGACUCUCCCGCGCCGGCCCCAAAGGGAACUGCACCAGCUGCGCUAGCUAUAAUUAGAGCGAGCAAGCCAGGAAGGUGAUAAUCCCCCUCCCCCCUCGCACCCAGCAGCCCCUCGGUGCCUCCCUCAGCCGCACCAAGAAAGGAAUUCGUGUGUGUUGACUACAGCUCUUUAUCUGGAUGGGUCACCUCGUGGUGAACCAAAUAUAGUAAACGACGGCUGCUGCUAGCGACGCCGCUUCUUCCAAGGGGGAGAAUCCGGCAUUGCACAACCCAAGAAAGAUCAAACGCAUGGCACUCGCGCAACUGCCCUGAACCUAGUGCGGGUCAUCAGGCAAAUCUCCCAGGGUGGGGUGGGAAGAGUUGCCCAGGGACCAGUGUGAGCUGCAGCAGUGUGUGUGUCUCCAUUCUGUGCCACAAAUGUGCCCUGAAGAGGAUAAACUGCUCUGGGGGUUGCUACCUUCUCUACCGAGCAUGUCAAUUUUGGAGGCUUGUUUUUCUGGAGAACUCCACAAGAAAUUGAAGUGAGACCAACCAACUCAUUUCAUGAAGGCCAUUGAAGAAUCAUCAUCAUUUUCAGUCACUACCAACCUACCCAGAACUUGACCUGGCGGAUGAGAGACUCUGUAUUUUAUAGCUAAUCCCCAGAGUUAAACAGUCCAUAAUUAACAGCAAUAUUAUUAGUUCAUGUGUUUUUCAUUUUACACAGACAAUGUCAUUCUGUAUGAUAUCAUCUGAGGUGAAUGCGCUGCCCACCAUGUCUUCCUUAUCUACCUCCCACUCCCAGUAUCUUCUAGAACCCUUUUAAAUAAUAACCGUCAGAUUCUAUGUGCAGUGCAAUUUCACUGACUUCAGUGAGGCUGUACUGGUAUCACUGAGUGAAGACCCUAAUAGUAUUCUAUAGUCACAUUAAAUCUUCUCUUUGGACUUGA